rnacentral:rRNA from 1 species
GUGGGGAAUAUUGCACAAUGGGGGAAACCCUGAUGCAGCACCGCCGCGUGAAGGAAGACGGUUUUCGGAUUGUAAACUUCUAUCAAUAGGGACGAAAAAAAUGACGGUACCUAAAUAAGAAGCCCCGGCUAACUACGUGCCAGCAGCCGCGGUAAUACGUAGGGGGCAAGCGUUAUCCGGAAUUACUGGGUGUAAAGGGUGAGUAGGCGGCAUGGCAAGUAAGAUGUGAAAGCCCGAGGCUUAACCUCGGGAUUGCAUUUUAAACUGCUAAGCUAGAGUACAGGAGAGGAAAGCGGAAUUCCUAGUGUAGCGGUGAAAUGCGUAGAUAUUAGGAAGAACACCAGUGGCGAAGGCGGCUUUCUGGACUGGAAACUGACGCUGAGGCACGAAAGCGUGGGGAGCGAACAGGAUU